CACUGUUGAUUCGCGUUUUUGGUGGUUUCGUCUUCUGCCAUUUCUGAUCCAGAAUUUCCCAUUCUCUUGCUCGCGUGUCGUGUUAUGUGUGGUUCUGAACAAUGAUGGCAGCAAAAUCAGUGAUGUUCGUGUUGGGAAAUUGCCAUGGUUGUUGAAGGUUCGUGUGAUGUGUUUGUGGAUCGUGAAGUCCAAUUUCAUUCCUGGCCAGGAGAAUUCAAUUGAAAUGGUGCUUAUCGAUGAGAAGGGUUCCAAGAUUCAUGCUACUGUCCAAAGGCAUUUGAUUCAUUUGUUUAAAGAUAUUCUUAUUGAAGGCAAGUUUUUCUCGGCUGGUUUCAAAAGUUCAUGUGAUGCGUUUGUGGAUCAUCAAGUCCAAUCUAAUAUCUGGCCAGGACAAUUCAAUUGAAAUGGUGCUUAUCAAUGAGAAGGGCUGCAAGAUUCAUGCUACUGUCCGGAGGCACCUGAUUCAUUUGUUUAAGGGUGUUCUUAAGGGUGCACCUGAUUCAUUACCGGUAGUUGUUAUCCAAUUUGGA